CACCUAGUGUGGUCACCCUCCCCUCUGCCGAUUUCAAGAGCUGGAAACAGAGGGAAGUUAAGCCAUGACUAAGAAGCCUGGCGUCCUUUCAGUGGAGAAAGGUAGCCCUGUCGCUUCAGUGGGAUGAGGCCUGUUUCUUGCUGUUGGAGAAGAUUCCAGAACACAAAAGAAGGCAUGUCUCUAGUCCUGCAUGCAACAGCCUCCGUUCCUUCUUUGCCUCUCCAUCCCUCUAUCUCUCUUCAAACCUCAGAGGAUUCUACAGAUGUCUGGAGAUGCCCACGGGACUGCGGCCCAGCCUGGAGACUUA
rnacentral:lncRNA from 1 species